GUUUUCAACUGAAAAGUCAUCAACAAGAAAGUUGUAUAACUCAUCAAGAUCUAUAAUUUUUAUUUUGAUCAUUUCUUCAUCCGACAAAGUGAUAGUAAUAUUGUUCACAAAAUUUACAUAUCUCAUAUGAUUUUAUAAACUAUAAGAGAUAUAUGCAAAUUUUGUAAACAAUGUUACUAUCACUUUGUCGGAUGAAGAAAUGAUCAAAAUAAAAAUUGUAUGUCUUGAUGAGUUCUACAACUUUUAUGUUCAUAACUUUUUCCGCUGAAAUU
rnacentral:pre_miRNA from 1 species